GUGGGGAAUAUUGGACAAUGGGCGAAAGCCUGAUCCAGCCAUGCCGCGUGUGUGAAGAAGGUCUUCGGAUUGUAAAGCACUUUAAGUUGGGAGGAAGGGCAGUAAGUUAAUACCUUGCUGUUUUGACGUUACCGACAGAAUAAGCACCGGCUAACUUCGUGCCAGCAGCCGCGGUAAUACGAAGGGUGCAAGCGUUAAUCGGAAUUACUGGGCGUAAAGCGCGCGUAGGUGGUUUUGUAAGUUGGAGGUGGAAUCCCCGGGCUCAACCUGGGAACUGCCUACAAAACUGCAUGACUAGAGUACGGUAGAGGGUAGUGGAAUUUCCUGUGUAGCGGUGAAAUGCGUAGAUAUAGGAAGGAACACCAGUGGCGAAGGCGACUACCUGGACUGAUACUGACACUGAGGUGCGAAAGCGUGGGGAGCAAACAGGAUUAGAUACCCGUGUAGUCC
rnacentral:rRNA from 1 species